rnacentral:misc_RNA from 1 species
AAGUCGUAACAAGGUUUCCGUAGGUGAACCUGCGGAAGGAUCAUUAACACGUUAUCCAACGUAUCAAAACAAACACGAACAAUUCUCCCUAAGUCAAGACUGUAAGUUGGUCACCAGGAUAGAUUGGGUAGUUCUUCGGAAUUACGUCCUGGGGGAUACUGAAGGAUAAUACCUUAAAACUGCGACUUUGCUCUUAGGCUACUAUUUCAGCACUACCUUCUAACCUGGGGGUGUUGGAAUGACUAUCAAAUUUCACCUAUUAAACCCUAUUUGACUAAUUAUAUACUAUUGCAUCUGGGAACUAGAACAAACUAUGGCUUCGGCUGUACAUGAGUUCGACUUUUUGGACAAUGGUACCAAGUUUAUUUAAACUAAGCACAACUCUUAGCAAUGGAUAUCUUGGUUCUC